rnacentral:piRNA from 1 species
UUCUUGAUAAGAAAAAAUGCUGCCUAGAUAU